rnacentral:lncRNA from 1 species
ACUGCAAGAGAGAUUGAGAAAACAAGAAGAAGGCAAAGUCAUGUUCAAAAAAUAAUUAGAAGAAAACACCCCAUCAUCCAUUACUGAUUCCAACCUUUAAGAUAAUUACAAUAUGCUAUAGAUUGCAUGCUGGUGUGCAUAUAAAUAACGAAAAACAGUUAAAGAUUAUAUAUCUGUGUGUAUACGUAUAAAGAAAUACUUAUUCUAUUUGCUAUUUAGACAAAAUUGCUAUUACAUCACAAUAAUAUGACAUAUUUAGCAAAUUAAACAA